CUGAUUCUGCGCUUUUGUUGCACAUAUAUAUUUUAUUAUUUUCAAGACUCGAUAAAAUAGAUAAAACGCAGUAUCAAUUUGCCAAAUGGCAGUGGGUGGUAAUUUGGGGAUCUGCAAGGAAGUGAAGGAAGUUGAAGCAGAUGUGAAGAGUAGUGCAGAGUGUACGAAUUUAGUAUUUUAUUACGUGGUGGUUUCAUUUUGAUCUGUCAGUGUAUCAGCCCACACUAAGCUGCAUAAGUUGUUAGAAAAUGAAGCAAUAAACAAUGGUGAUAGUCAUUGUAUAGGAACAUUUAUUUAGUGAGAGUGUAAAGGCUGACAAAUGUCAUCCCUUUGAUCAGAUUUCUCGGAUUAGAAAUGUCAUCUCUAAUACGCUUGGCUGAUACUUGUUUCGUCUGACCGAGCAAGUGCUUCAUGGAAGAGUGUGCUUGAACGGUGCUCCAUCCUAGAAAAAUCUUAGAAAGACCAGUAGUUGCGAAACGUCACAACAGAGCAGUCCACGUAGAGUUUCUAGUAAAAUUUUAAAUCAUGGACCAAGAAACAGUUUACGGCACCCACGAGGACAGUCAUGUGGUAAUGUCUGAAAAAGUUCAAUCGUUAGCUGGCAGCAUUUAUCAAGAGUUUGAGAGAAUGAUAGCAAGAUAUGAUGAGGAUGUUGUCAAAGAACUAAUGCCACUCUUAGUCAACGUAUUGGAAUGUUUAGAUAUCGCUUACACUGAAAAUCAAGAGCAUGAAGUUGAGUUAGAAUUGCUGAGAGAAGAUAAUGAGCAAUUAGUUACUCAAUAUGAAAGAGAAAAGCAGCUAAGAAAAGCAUCGGAUCAGAAAUUAUUAGAGCUUGAAGACAUAGCAGAAGAUGAAAGAAAGGAGUUGCUAGCAAAAAUUGAUAGUUUAGAAACAAUUCUUAAAAUGCUGGAGCUAAAGACGAAAAAUUCACAUGAUCAUGUUGUUCGUCUUGAAGAAAAAGAGGCAGAAUUAAAACGUGAAUAUGCACGAUUACAUGAACGAUAUACCGAAUUGUUCAAAACUCACGUUGAUUAUAUGGAAAGAACUAAAUUGCUCGUGGGAAGUAGUGAAAGAUUAGAAAAUACAACAAACAACCGUCCUCCUCGAUAUCCUGGUUUGAAUUUAGCUCAUAUGUCACGAAGCUCUGGGCCUCUCAGUUAUGGAUUCCAAAGUUUAGAAGCUAGUAUGAAUGCCGAAGAUAUUCAGGAAGAAAGUCCAACCCAUACUGCAAGUUUAAAAUCAGAAAUGCAGGACAGCAGUGGUGAAGCAGUAAUUGAAACAUCAGAUAAAAGCCAAUUAACUGAUAAUCCACCUCAAGAGAAUAAAACUACAACUGUUUCAAAGCUCUUUGCAGAUGAAAGUCCAGAAACUGAAGUACCUCCUGUUGUUGCUACUCCAACAACUCCAGUUGUCGACAAGGUAGCAACAACUCCCAGUGGUAGAAGUAGAACAGAACGAGAGCAACGUAGUGGAAAUACUUUGUAUCAAGAACUUAGUUUUCAAGAUGCUGACGCUUUGGGAGAAAUGGAUGAAGGAGCAGAUAUUACUGGCAGUUGGGUUCAUCCAGGAGAGUACGCUUCGUCGGUCAAUGACAACUUCUUCGGUAUGGGCAAAGAAGUUGAGAAUCUCAUUAUGGAAAACAAUGAAUUAUUGGCAACAAAGAAUGCGCUGAACAUCGUUAAAGACGAUCUGAUAGCUAAAGUGGAUGAACUAACAAGUGAACAAGAAAUUCUUCGUGAUGAAGUAAGAGCACUACAUCAAGCACGAGAUCGACUUCGUCAUAAAGUAUCAGCUUUAGAAGGAGAGCUGAAGAAAGUAAAAGAAGAGAGUGAAGCUAUGGCUAAAACAACUAAGAGUGAUGAUGAAGAAGAUGUUCCACUUGCUCAAAGAAAACGGUUUACUCGUGUAGAAAUGGCAAGAGUACUUAUGGAGAGGAAUCAAUAUAAAGAACGAUUCAUGGAACUUCAAGAAGCUGUGAGAUGGACUGAAAUGAUUCGAGCCAGUAAGACAGAUCCAGCGAGUAUAUCUGGAGGCAAACAGUCUGUCUGGAAGUUUUUUAGUAAUCUUUUUACCGGUCCAGCUGAUCGGGGGACACUACAUAGAAAUCCUCAUACCUUACCGCAUAUAAGGUAUAGCGCUCCGUCAAAUCAAGUAGUGCCAGCUCCACCGUUAGAUGCAAUGCGUAAGCGUACAUUAAAAAAUCGCCAUGAAUUUCUCGACCAAGGAGAUACGAUCUCAUCUGAAAAACGAGUGGCUAGACUUGCCAAUGAAAGAAAAGAACAAUAUCGACAAGUAAGAGCACACGUGAGAAAAGAAGAUGGACGUUUGCAAGCUUAUGGAUGGAGUUUACCUGGAAAACCUAGUGCUCCUGCGAGACAACCUGUUCCAGUUCCUGUUUAUUGUCGUCCUCUUCAAGAAACAGAACCUGGAAUGAAGAUUUGGUGUGGAGCCGGCGUAAACUUAAACGGUGGGAAAACUCGUGAUGGAGGACUUGCAAUAGGAGGAAGUGUAUUUUAUGCAGAUGAAGCAAAAGAGACUCCCAUGGUUGAAGGAAAAGUAGAAGACGCUGUUGAACAUUUGGAUAAAGAGUUGCAAGAGAAUGAACAGCGUCGCCUUGAAGCAGAAAGACAAGACCAGCAAUUAAGCUCCCUUGUAUGGAUUUGUACGUCGACUCAAAAGAUGUCCAAAGUCACUGUGAUAGAUGCAAAUAAUCCAGCUGAUAUCUUAGAAGUUUUCAAUGUGUGUCAGAGUCAUUUACUCUGUAUAGCGAGUGUUCCUGGUGCAAAAGAGAGUGAUUAUAUUCACAAUGUUGAAGAAUCUACACAACGGAUAGUAAAUGGAACAAAUGAAGUAGACUUAGUUAACAUUCAGGUCCAACGUGCCAAUGAUGAGCAAAUUGUUGCUGAAGAAGCUACUGUAACUGAAGAAAAAAACUGCCUAAAAGCGGGAGAUUCUGAUGAUCGCAGUCAAGCAACUUCAGAGGGUCCGAGUUCUCUAGAAGAAAAACCUAGUGAAAGCUCAGAGAAAAAAACUGAUGUAGAUCAGAGCUCAAAUACAGAACCCCAAAGCUUAGAAAAUGUUGACAGUGAUUCUAUUAAUAUAGGAAAAGUACAUUUUGUUAAAAGUAAUAUUGAAACUCUAUCAAUCACAAACACUGUAAGUGAAUCUGAAGCACCACAAACUGCCGAAAAUGAUACUCCUAUUGAAAAAAUGUCGUCAAUACAGCCAACAAUGUGGCUUGGAGCACAGAAUGGAACUGUUUAUGUGCACUCAGCUGUUGCUAAAUGGUCUAUUUGUUUACAUACUGUUACGCUCAAAGAUGCUGUUUUAUCCAUAGUUCAUGUUCAGGGAAGAGUGCUGGUAGCUCUUGCUGAUGGGACAGUGGCAAUAUUUCGACGAGGAUCCGAUGGUCAAUGGGACUUAUCUCAACACCACAUUAUUACUUUAGGCAGUCCGCAACAUGCCAUUAGAUGUAUGACAGCCGUCUCAGGGAAAACAGUCUGGUGUGGAUAUAGAAAUAAGAUUCAUGUGAUUGACCCCAUUCUCAUGAGUCUCGAGUGUACCGUUGACGCACAUCCAAGGAGAGAGUCUCAAGUCAGACAAUUAGCAUGGCUUGGAGAAGGAGUUUGGGUCAGCAUUCGACUCGAUUCUACAUUGAGGCUGUAUCAUGCUCACACUUAUCAGCAUCUGCAAGAUGUAGACAUUGAGCCUUAUGUCAGCAAAAUGCUCGGCACUGGCAAACUCGGGUUUUCAUUUGUACGAAUCACUGCAUUACUCAUUUCUUCAAACAGACUGUGGAUUGGAACGGGAAACGGUGUCAUCAUAUCUGUACCAUUAUCAGAAAGUGCUGGAGGAUCUUUAGCUGUGUCUAGAGUACAAAGUAUGGGUGGUAAAGGUGAUGCUCCAGGAGUAGGAGUUCGAGUAUUCGCUUCGGAAAAAGGUGUCACUCCCGGAAGUUUUAUUCCUUACUGCAGUAUGGCUCAUGCUCAACUUAGUUUCCAUGGCCACCGUGAUGCUGUGAAAAUGUUUGUUGCAGUUCCGGGACAUGGAGGUCAGAGUGCCAUUUCAGAUGGUACACAGCCAGCAAUGUUGGUAUUAUCAGGUGGAGAAGGCUACAUAGAUUUCCGUGUGGGUGAUGGUGACGAAAUUGAGGAAGGAUUGGAGCGUACAAACAUUUCAGCGACUAGUCAUGAGGAACAUGGAGAACAAAGUCAUCUGAUUGUUUGGCAGGUUCAAUCACCUGUCCACAUGAACGGCUAGCCUAUUGGUUAAAAAAAAAUUUUCUUAGGGUGCAUAGAAUAAAUAAAUUAAUAAUUCAAGAGAACAGAUAGACUGCAAGAGUUAUCAAUAACUCAGCAGCAAGACAGUGAAGUUUAUCAGAGCUCUUAAGUGUCUAAGAGCAAUUAUGAUAGAAUUACUUCUUCGACAAACGAAGAAAACGUAACUGUCCAAUUUAUUUAUUUAGAUGUGAUCAUGAUAAGACAGAUUAAUUAUUGUAGGCUAUGACAGCGAAUAAUAGUAAUGAUGACGCUUGUUUGUUCCAAAAAUUGAACAUUGACUAAUUUUUAUCAGAAUAAUUAAUUGAAACAAUCAGUUUUUAAUUGAUAUAAAAAUUAUUAGAUGAAAAUAUUUCACGCCUAUAUGCGUCCCUUUUUGUACGAAGCGAUAGUAAGUUGUCAAGACAUAGAUAAUUAAUUAGUAAAUGAAAAAUUAUCAAACUUUAUGAAGCAUCUUAUAGAAAGCAUUGCAUUUGAAAAAUUCUUUAUCUCGAGCUUUGUAUAACAAAAAUCGCUUUCAUUGGUAUCAUAAUGUACGUGUAUACGUAUAUAGAUUAUUGAAUUGGUUUCACACUAAUAGAGUUUUAAAUUAUCAAUAAAUUAUGUAAACAUAAAUUUCGUAAAAUCUUGUAGGGAGAUUGAGAUAAAUGUUUUCUCUAUUUUUUUAAUUCAAUUUUCUUAUUUAAUUUUUUUAAUAUUUACUUUACAGGAAACUAGUCGCGGAUAUUCUAUCUUAUUUAUUAACCGCAAUGUUAACUAUUAAUGUUUAAAUAAUAUUUCUCAUAACCGUGACAUUGAGACUUGGAAGAUAAAAAAAGGAUAUAAUUGAUCAUUUUUAACGAUAACUACAUAUGCUUAUCAGACCUUCUAUGACCUUGCAAAACUUCGUAGUUUAUGCUAACUCGUCGACUAUCCCAACAAAUCGUGA
rnacentral:misc_RNA from 1 species